UAAUACAGAGGGUGCAAGCGUUAAUCGGAAUUACUGGGCGUAAAGCGCGCGUAGGUGGUUUGUUAAGUUGGAUGUGAAAUCCCCGGGCUCAACCUGGGAACUGCAUUCAAAACUGACUGACUAGAGUAUGGUAGAGGGUGGUGGAAUUUCCUGUGUAGCGGUGAAAUGCGUAGAUAUAGGAAGGAACACCAGUGGCGAAGGCGACCACCUGGACUAAUACUGACACUGAGGUGCGAAAGCGUAGGGAGCAAACAGGAUUAGAUACCCUGGUAGUCCACGCCGUAAACGAUGUCAACUAGCCGUUGGGAGCCUUGAGCUCUUAGUGGCGCAGCUAACGCAUUAAGUUGACCGCCUGGGGAGUACGGCCGCAAGGUUAAA
rnacentral:rRNA from 1 species